rnacentral:rRNA from 1 species
AGUGAACGCUGGCGGUAGGCCUAACACAUGCAAGUCGAACGGCAGCACAGUAAGAGCUUGCUCUUACGGGUGGCGAGUGGCGGACGGGUGAGGAAUACAUCGGAAUCUACUUUUUCGUGGGGGAUAACGUAGGGAAACUUACGCUAAUACCGCAUACGACCUACGGGUGAAAGCAGGGGAUCUUCGGACCUUGCGCGAUUGAAUGAGCCGAUGUCGGAUUAGCUAGUUGGCGGGGUAAAGGCCCACCAAGGCGACGAUCCGUAGCUGGUCUGAGAGGAUGAUCAGCCACACUGGAACUGAGACACGGUCCAGACUCCUACGGGAGGCAGCAGUGGGGAAUAUUGGACAAUGGGCACAAGCCUGAUCCAGCCAUACCGCGUGGGUGAAGAAGGCCUUCGGGUUGUAAAGCCCUUUUGUAGGGAAAGAAAAGCAGCAGGUUAAUACCCCGCUGUUCUGACGGUACCCAAAGAAUAAGCACCGGCUAACUUCGUG